UAAAAUAUGAACCUAAUUGUCUCUUCGCCUCCAUCUCUUCGCCUCCCCACCCUAAAAUAUGAACCUUUCUUGUUUCAUCAAACGUAUCUGAAACUUUUAACAAGAUGAAGAAAAAUAAAAAUCUUGAAACACCGGUAUGGUUUGUUUUGCAAUUUUUUUUCUCUGAAAUUACCUUCAAUUGAUACAUCAUCCUGAGAGACGACAUAUCCAAGUGGUGGCGAGUCAAGGGUGCUUUUGGAUUCACUAUAUCUUUUUAGAUCACCAAAAACUAUACAGGAAAGUUACUAUCAUCUAUUUCCUGCUACUUCUGCAAUUCUGCAACAACUUCUUAUUCAACUAGGUCGAAGUUCAGAUGUUCAAAACGUUUUGAAACCUCCUCGUGGAAGUGAACAUAGCAAUCAAGAAGAAAACAAAUGAAAUUGAAUAAUAGAAAAUGGUCAUCACCGUAUUUCAUGGAGGUAUGUAUAGGGUAACUUCUGCCUUUUGUACCACAAUCAAAAGCUAAUAGACGACAGAUUUGUGCUUCAAGACUUUGGCAGAACUUGUAAAUGCCAACAUAAGAAACAUUUUGAUGGAUUUGGCUCCUCUUGGUUGCACUUUCUCAUUACUAGGGAUGAACAUGGUUUCGGUUUUCCGCUGGAACCGGACCAAACCAGACCAAUUAGAAAGAAACCAAACCGAACCAUUUCCUAAUGGAUUGGUUACGGUGUAGAAAAUGGAAAAUCGAUAGUGUUGGUUUUGGUUUGGUUUGACCUCUAAAACCGAACCAAAAAUCAUUGGAAAACCGAUUAAUUUUUAAACUUAAUUUCUACCGUUGAUUUACAAGUAUUGGAUUCUACCCAUUGAUUUAGAGGAUAAAUAGAAACCCUAAAUCUAAUAUUUCAUUAUGAUACUGUCCUUCUUUCUCUUUCUCCUUCUCUAAGUCGCCUCCCUUCUCCACCGCCAACUACAGCCGUUGCUAUUCGACUUUUUUCUUCCCGUCUUCCUUCUUUUUUUAUUUGUCAAUAACUAAAUUAAAAUAUAUUAUAUAUCUUCUUUUGAUCUCUA